GGGUGGUGGUGCAUGGCCGU
rnacentral:ncRNA from 3 species